CUUUGUGUUGCAGAGGAUGGGAGGACUGGAGCACUCCUGAGCAACUUCGUCUGUUUCACAGCUGCUCCCUGAGUCAAAGACAAGCAGUCCUGGAACUGCUCUGGCCUUGCAGAAGGGAUCAGACAGCCUGGGGAAGGAUGACUGAUCCACCUUCAACUGGCCUUGCUGAAGUGGCUUCAUUGUUAUAGUCCCCACCUUACUCAUCUUUAUUAUCCUGUGCUCCCAGAGGACCU